UACCUGUCUAUUGUCACAGAUUGUUGAGCCUUUGUUGAAGGCAGCUAUGGAGAUAUCCAUGCUUCUUGCUCGGUCAUU